rnacentral:rRNA from 1 species
UACGUAGGUGGCAAGCGUUAUCCGGAUUUAUUGGGCGUAAAGGGAACGCAGGCGGUCUUUUAAGUCUGAUGUGAAAGCCUUCGGCUUAACCGGAGUAGUGCAUUGGAAACUGGGAGACUUGAGUGCAGAAGAGGAGAGUGGAACUCCAUGUGUAGCGGUGAAAUGCGUAGAUAUAUGGAAGAACACCAGUGGCGAAAGCGGCUCUCUGGUCUGUAACUGACGUUGAGGUUCGAAAGCGUGGGUAGCAAACAGG